rnacentral:sRNA from 2 species
UUUGUUUGCUUCUAGGGUUCCGAUUUGACUGUCCAUUUCAAAUGCUGGUCCGAGAGAGGCAGGGUAAUUCUAAGGUAGCUAUAGAAUAAUGUUGCUUUAGAGUUACUUACACGGCGGGAUAAAAGCCCGGGAGGA